rnacentral:rRNA from 2 species
ACCCUUUCCUGCGGAAUAGCUCCGGGAAACUGGAAUUAAUACCGCAUACGCCCUACGGGGGAAAGAUUUAUCGGGGAAGGAUUGGCCCGCGUUGGAUUAGCUAGUUGGUGGGGUAAAGGCCUACCAAGGCGACGAUCCAUAGCUGGUCUGAGAGGAUGAUCAGCCACAUUGGGACUGAGACACGGCCCAAACUCCUACGGGAGGCAGCAGUGGGGAAUAUUGGACAAUGGGCGCAAGCCUGAUCCAGCCAUGCCGCGUGAGUGAUGAAGGCCUUAGGGUUGUAAAGCUCUUUCACCGGAGAAGAUAAUGACGGUAUCCGGAGAAGAAGCCCCGGCUAACUUCGUGCCAGCAGCCGCGGUAAUACGAAGGGGGCUAGCGUUGUUCGGAAUUACUGGGCGUAAAGCGCACGUAGGCGGAUAUUUAAGUCAGGGGUGAAAUCCCGCAGCUCAACUGCGGAACUGCCUUUGAUACUGGGUAUCUUGAGUAUGGAAGAGGUAAGUGGAAUUCCGAGUGUAGAGGUGAAAUUCGUAGAUAUUCGGAGGAACACCAGUGGCGAAGGCGGCUUACUGGUCCAUUACUGACGCUGAGGUGCGAAAGCGUGGGGGAGCAAACAGGAUUAGAUACCCUGGUAGUCCACGCCGUAAACGAUGAAUGUUAGCCGUCGGGCAGUAUACUGUUCGGUGGCGCAGCUAACGCAUUAAACAUUCCGCCUGGGGAGUACGGUCGCAAGAUUAAAACUC